UAUUUAAUCACUUUAUAAUUAAAAAUGUUUUUUUAAUGAGAAAAAAAAGAUUUUGAUAUGACGUUUUAUUGUUGAUUUAGAUUACAGUGGCUCUUAAUACAAGCACUGCUUCAGUAUUACAGUUUGCACUGGGCUCUGGAUCCUGCCAUUUUAGUUAUUCAGAUCCCAGCAUAAUUGUCUCCUGUAGACUAAACAGUUCAAGUGGCUGGACCAUCUUGGAAAAAAUCAGGAACUCAAGUUGCAUCAACAAUGCUUUGGGAACACUUUCACGUGCCCAUGCAUCUGAAUCACAUGUUUAAUCUGUCCACAGCAGGGUGACAUUGCGAACAGGAAGCUAUUAAAUGCACAUGCGGUUUAGACAGUGCUAGCUGCAAUAGAAGGAAGUGCUUUAGGGAUGCAAGGAGUAUGGCCUGGAGACCCAGCGUCUCGUUCCCUGAGAGAACCAGGGUUACAUACUUAACCUAGAGACAUUUGCAGGAACUUUAGCUGCAUCAACAACACUUUGAGAACAAGUGUCUUAUACUGCCAGACUGUUUAGGAAAGCACUCUGUGCGUGUCUGUGUGAGAAAAUAAAUAUGGAAAGCAGGCCUCAGUACCAUCUAUGUGUUCCUACCUAGAUCCAGUGCUUCCCCCAGCGCUCGGAAGCACGCCUUUCGAGACCGGGGAGAAAGCACUGGAUCUGAAAAGGACAAGCCUAUCUCCAAUCUCUUUAGAUCCAGUGCUUACUCAGCCCAUACUCAGCCUGCCUCUUGAGUCCCAAUGUCUCCCCUUUAUGCUAAUGUGGUCUGACUGAAAGAGUGCGGUUAUGG